CCGUUGCUGGGGCUGCGGUCGGAUCCGGGGGGGAUGGAUGGGGCCGGCGGCCGGGGGGGCCCGGCGCUGGCGGCCUCCGCCUGGGCCCUGUGAGCGGCCAGCGGGCGUCGCCGGGGGCGGCCGCCGUCUCUGCCCGCGGGCCCCGGGCUGAGCUAGGGCCGAGGGCCCGGCAGCGAGGCGCCGAGCGGCCCCGGGACGGGGGGGCCCCGGGGCGGUAGGCCAUGGCCACCCGGCGUCUAACGGACGCGUUCUUGUUGUUGCGGAACAACGCGGUGCAGAGCCGGCAGCUGCUGGCCGAGCAAGUGAGUAGUUUCGGCUCCUCCAGCCCUCUGAGUUCACGUAGCAUGGCUGCUGCGCUUGCUGAUGAUCGUAUGGCACUGGUAUCGGGAAUAAGUUUGGAUCCCGAAGCAGCAAUUGGAGUGACAAAACGCUUACCUCCCAAAUGGGUUGAUGGAGCAGACGAAAUUCAGUAUGAUAUCACCAGGGUUAAACAGAAGAUGAAAGAAUUAGCCAGUCUUCAUGAUAAACAUCUAAACAGGCCAACACUGGAUGACAGCAGUGAAGAAGAACGGGCAAUAGAAAUAACAACCCAAGAGAUCACACAGUUAUUUCACAGAUGUCAGAGAGCAGUCCAGGUCUUGCAGAGCAGGUCACGUAGUUGUACAGAACAAGAAGCACGUGUUCUCAGGAAUGUAGUGUCUUCCUUAGCACAGUCCCUUCAGGACCUAUCCACCAACUUUAGGCAUGCACAGUCUGACUAUCUCAAACGCAUGAAGAAUAGAGAAGAAAGAUCCAAACACUUCUUUGACACCUCAGUCCCACUGAUGGAUGAUGGGGAGGAUGAUACACUUUAUGAUAGAGGUUUUACAGAUGACCAGCUAGCAUUGGUGGAGCAAAACACAUUAAUGGUGGAAGAGCGAGAACGAGAAAUCCGUCAGAUCGUACAGUCAAUAUCCGAUCUCAAUGAAAUAUUUAGGGACCUGGGAGCAAUGAUAGUAGAACAGGGAACAGUUCUAGAUAGAAUUGACUACAAUGUCGAACAGUCAUGUAUGAAAACUGAAGAGGGUCUAAAACAACUACAUAAGCUUCUAUUAGCAGACUUUCAUUUGGCUUUUGGAGAGUUUUCUCCACGUUGCCUCCUUUUAAUUCCCCUGGGAAAAAGAGGAAAGGGAUGAGAAAAUGUGGUUAGAAGAAAGAAGGAAUGAAGCAGAAAACUGAGAACCAAAUCAAAAAGAAAGCUUUCAGUUCUAAUUGAAAUUAAAUGAAAAUGCACAGCUGAAUCAGGCAGAGCAAUAUCAAAAGAAGAAUCGGAAGAUGCUUGUUAUUUUAAUUUUGUUUGUUAUAGUAAUUGUCCUUAUUGUUGUUCUUAUUGGUGUAAAGUCACACUAGGUUUCACUUCAUUUUCUUAUUUUUGGAGCUUAUGUGAACUUUUUUCCCCAAUGUGAAUGGUUGGACCUGCACUCCAGAAAGCUGCCUUUGAAUGUAUAAGCCCUAGUGGUGCAAAGUUGGUGCAAUGUUUCUGUAGAAUUCUUCAAAGUACAAGUUUGGUGAUCUGUGAGGUGUUUGUAAGGAUUAUAUGGAAAAAUGUCAGGAAAUUUGAUGCUCCCACACAAAUAAUUUGGCACUCUAUGUAGAGGUAUUUGGAAACACAGUACUUAAAAAUAAUUACAAAAUUGAAGUUUACCAGUGAGUACAGUAAUUAGUGUUUUACUGUGAACAAAAAUGUGUUGUCUUCUGUAUUCUUAUGUCACGAUUGUUACAGGCUUCAAAUUUAAACCAUGUUACCGAGUCAUAGGACUAGCUAACAGAAAUGUUUGACUUUAUCUCCUUUCUUCCAGACUCAAAAACUCCAAAGAACUGGAUAGACAGCUAAAAAAAGAAACCUUUUAGCAACCAGAGUGUAAUUCAACCCCUGUGAUCUUAAUUGAGAUACUGCACCAUUACUAAGAAUCAGAGUACUACUUGAUCUUGUAAAUAACAAGAUUUAAUCACUGGCAUAAUUUAACACAUUUAGUUAAUUAAAAAAUUUUCUGAGCUUGAGUAAUCAUGGGAAUGUUUUUCCUCACCAGAAUGAUCAUAUAUAUUUUUUCAUGUACAUUUUCUUUAAAGUACAGACAUUACAUAAAAGCAGUGGUGAAGUUAAACCUAAAAAAUAGAGAUUCUCCUUUCUACUCCAUCUGACCUACCAUAGUGGGUCUCAGAUGUUUCAUACUCUAGUUGUUGUAUAAGCUGUUUAUUUUACAGUGCAUCUGUCUGUACAUGUUAUAUUUUUUGUCUAAGUGAUUUCACUGCGGUAUACAUUACAUCCAUUUUCCCUGACAGAAGAUUAUUUCUUUCAAAUGCCUGUGUGGAUGAAGAUGUGUUUAUGCUGUUUUACUGACCCUGAGAGAUGUCAUGCAAGUGACAUGUUACUAGGCCUUCAGUAGAGAAUUUGGGUUUUUUUCCACUAUUUUAUUCAGUGGAAAACUUUGCUGUAGGCCAUGAAAGAGAAAUUAGGGCAACAUCUAAGUAAUACAAUACUCCUGAUUGAAUUCAGGCCUGAAGUGGUGUGCAAUUGUAGAGGCCUUGCCUUAAUAUUUUUAAUAUGGCUUUUCUGUAUGGAUUUUUUCCCCAAAGGGACUGUAACUUAGUUCCUUCAUUUUCUGACUGAUACCGUGCUCCCCAUAAACUUGCAGAGAUGCUCUGCGCAAAGCCCCUGAAGUGCGGUUUCACAAUACUAUGAUAUUAAUGUUGCAUAUGUUGCCUUCCCUGAGUUUAUCUUUACUGUGUACUAAGGAGGAUGUAAGAUGUGGCUUUAAACUGACUUGGUGCAGGAAUGGACCUGAAAGCAAAGACUACAGAGAUGGGACAGCCUUGGCUUCUUGUGUGGCUGCUUGUGAAAAGCUUCGUACCACUCUUGUUACCUCUAGACAAAGGGGAUAUUGAACUUCCAAACCUGCCAGUUCAAACCCUUGAUUAAAUUCAUAAAGUAAAUUGGUAAAAGGAAGAAUGAUGCUUGUAGUUGGGUGUGCAGCUCCCCUGUUCUGGUAAUAGAUCUUUUCAAUGAUUGUGAGUAAAACUACUGUCUCCCUCGUGUGCUGUCUACAUCGGUUGGUGUGAAGCAGCAUAUUGCUAUAAUUUAAUAUACUGUAUUUGCAACUUUCUCUCUAACAUGAGAUCGUGUUAUUUAUUUCUGUCUUGACUGGUGCUUUUGACAUUUUAUCAUGGCUAAUGGAUUCAAAGAAGUAAUAAAACACUUCCAACC